AUGGGAUUUGGACUCAAGGGAAUUUUCAUUCUAAUUAUUUUACAAGGUGUCCAUUGUGAUAUUCAGCUGGAGGAGUCUGGGGGAGAUGUGAGACAACCUGGAGGGUCCCUGAAACUCUCCUGCAAAGCUUCUGGAUUCACCUUCAGCAGCAAUAGCAUGAAUUGGGUCUGCCAGGCUCCAGGGAAGGGGCUGGAGUGGAUCUCAUCCAUUAGUAGUGGCGGAAGUUAUACAUUCUAUGCAGACUCUGUGAAAGACUGA